rnacentral:rRNA from 1 species
GCAUAUCAAUAAGCGGAGGAAAAGAAACCAACAGGGAUUGCCUCAGUAACGGCGAGUGAAGCGGCAACAGCUCAAAUUUGAAAUCUGGCCCCCCGGGUCCGAGUUGUAAUUUGCAGAGGAUGCUUCUGGCGCGGCGCCUUCCAAGUCCCCUGGAACGGGGCGCCAUAGAGGGUGAGAGCCCCGUUGGGAUGGCCGCCAAGCCUGUGUGAAGCUCCUUCGACGAGUCGAGUAGUUUGGGAAUGCUGCUCUAAACGGGAGGUAGACCCCUUCUAAAGCUAAAUACCGGCCAGAGACCGAUAGCGCACAAGUAGAGUGAUCGAAAGAUGAAAAGCACUUUGAAAAGAGGGUUAAACAGUACGUGAAAUUGUUGAAAGGGAAGCGCUUGUGACCAGACGUGCACCGGGUGUUCAGCGGGCGUUCUCGCCCGUGCACUCGCCCCGGUGCAGGCCAGCGUCGGUUCGGUCGGGGGGACAAAGGCGCCGGGAACGUAGCUCCCUCGGGAGUGUUAUAGCCCGGUGUGCCAUGCCCCCGCCCGGACCGAGGUUCGCGCUCCGCAAGGACGCUGGCGUAAUGGUCCCCAGCGGCCCGUCUUGAAACACGGACCAAGGAGUCGAGGUUUUGCGCGAGUGUUUGGGUGUCAAAACCCGCACGCGUAAUGAAAGUGAACGCAGGUGGGAGCUUCGGCGCACCACCGACCGAUCCUGAUGUUCUCGGAUGGAUUUGAGUAAGAGCGUAGGGCCUCGGACCCGAAAGAUGGUGAACUAUACUUGGAUAGGGUGAAGCCAGAGGAAACUCUGGUGGAGGCUCGCAGCGGUUCUGACGUGCAAAUCGAUCGUCAAAUCUGAGUAUGGGGGCGAAAGACUAAUCG